rnacentral:tRNA from 1 species
GUUCCCGUAGCUCAGUCGGAUAGAGCGCAGCCUUGCGGAGGCUGAGGUCGCAGGUUCGAAUCCUGCCGGGAACG